rnacentral:rRNA from 1 species
AUUGAACGCUGGCGGCAUGCCUAACACAUGCAAGUCGAACGAGUGGCGGACGGGUGAGUAAUGUCUGGGAAACUGCCUGAUGGAGGGGGAUAACUACUGGAAACGGUAGCUAAUACCGCAUACCAUCGGAUGUGCCCAUAUGGGAUUAGCUAGUGGGUGGGGUAACGGCUCACCUAGGCGACGAUCCCUAGCUGGUCUGAGAGGAUGACCAGCCACACUGGAACUGAGACACGGUCCAGACUCCUACGGGAGGCAGCAGUGGGGAAUAUUGGACAAUGGGGGAAAGCCUGAUGCAGCCAUGCCGCGUGUAUGAAGAAGGCCUUCGGGUUGUAAAGUACUUUCGGCGGGGAGGCGUUACCCGCAGAAGAAGCACCGGCUAACUACGUGCCAGCCGCCGCGGUAAUAC